rnacentral:pre_miRNA from 1 species
GUAGUAUUCCCUCCGUCCCAAAAUUCUUGUCUUACAUUUGUUUAGGUACGGAUGUAUCUAACACUAAAAUGUAACUAGAUACAUCCAUAUUUAGACAAAUUUAAGACAAGAAUUUUGGGACGGAGGGAGUACAAA